rnacentral:rRNA from 1 species
GAUGAACGCUGGCGGCGUGCCUAAUACAUGCAAGCCGAGCGAACGGACGAGAAGCUUGCUUCUCUGAUGUUAGCGGCGGACGGGUGAGUAACACGUGGAUAACCUACCUAUAAGACUGGGAUAACUUCGGGAAACCGUAGCUAAUACCGGAUAAUAUUUUGAACCGCAUGGUUCAAAAGUGAAAGACGGUCUUGCUGUCACUUAUAGAUGGAUCCGCGCUGCAUUAGCUAGUUGGUAAGGUAACGGCUUACCAAGGCAACGAUGCAUAGCCGACCUGAGAGGGUGAUCGGCCACACUGGAACUGAGACACGGUCCAGACUCCUACGGGAGGCAGCAGUAGGGAAUCUUCCGCAAUGGGCGAAAGCCUGACGGAGCAACGCCGCGUGAGUGAUGAAGGUCUUCGGAUCGUAAAACUCUGUUAUUAGGGAAGAACAUAUGUGUAAGUAACUGUGCACAUCUGGACGGUACCUAAGCAGAAAGCCACGGCUAACUACGU